ACGGCGAGUGAAGCGGCAACAGCUCAAAUUUGAAAUCUGGCCCUCGGGUCCGAGUUGUAAUUUGUAGAGGAUGCAUUUGGCGCGGUGCCUUCCAAGUUCCCUGGAACGGGACGCCUUUGAGGGUGAGAGCCCCGAACGGUCGGUUACCAAGCCUCUGUAAUGCUCCUUCGACGAGUCGAGUAGUUUGGGAAUGCUGCUCUAAAUGGGAGGUAUAUGUCUUCUAAAGCUAAAUACCGGCCAGAGACCGAUAGCGCACAAGUAGAGUGAUCGAAAGAUGAAAAGCACUUUGAAAAGAGAGUUAAAAAGUACGUGAAAUUGUUGAAAGGGAAGCGCUCAUGACCAGACUUGGGCGUGUUAGAUCAACCAGGGUUCUCCCCGGUGCACUCUCUCACGCCCAGGCCAGCAUCAGUUCGCGGCGGGGGACAAAAGCUUCGGGAAUGUGGCUCCCUCGGGAGUGUUAUAGCCCGUUGCACAAUACCCUGCCGUGGACUGAGGUCCGCGCAUCUGCAAGGAU
rnacentral:rRNA from 2 species